GCAUCUCGAACGACGCGUAGUGUUUGUGGCUUAGGACCUCAAUAACACGGGGAUAACCGUGCCUUUAGGACCGUGAUAGCCCCGGCAUGCAGGGGAUAUUCAUCGAUACACGAUGGGGCCUGCAAUGAUGGGUCACCGACACACUUUCGUGUGGGCAAGGAUGCGUCUGCCCCAGACUAUGAUGUUGAUAGGGUAACAGCCCACCAAGCCGAUGAUCGAUCCGGGUUCAGAGAUCCAGAGCCUGGAGAUGGAACCUGAGACAAGGUUUCAGCACCUACGGCAAGCAGCAGGCGGGAAACCUCAAGCAACACUCGCAAGUGCGACGGGGGUACCACAAGUACCAAUCUUAACGAAUAAGCUUUUCACAAGUGUAAAAACAUUCUCGAAUAAGGCAUGGGCAAGACCGGUGCCAGCCGCCGCGGUAACACCUGCAGCUCAAGUGGUAGCUGCUUUUAUUGGGCCUAAAGCUUCCGUAGCCGGUCUGAUAAAUUUCCGGGGAAGUCCCUCAGGUUAACCGUUGGAAUGACAGGAGAUAUUAUCACGACUUGAGGUCGGGAGAGGCUGGUGGUACUCCCAGCGUAGGGGUGAAAUCCGUUCAUCCUGGGAGGACCACCUGUGGAGAAGGGAUCCACAGGGACCGAACCCGGCGGUGAGGGCCGAAAGCCAGGGGCGCGAACCGGAUUAGAUACCCGGGUAGUACUGGCCGUAAACGAUGCAGACUUGAAGUUGGGAUGGCUUCGAGCUGCCCCAGUGCCGAAGGGAAGAUGUUAAGUCCACCACCUGGGAAGUACGGCAGCAAGGCAGAAACUGGAAGGAAUUGGCGGGGGAGCUUCACAACGCGUCGUGCCUGCAAGGUAAUCGACUCAACGCCGGACAUCUCACCAAGGGCGACAGCGAUCUGAGAGGCAG
rnacentral:rRNA from 1 species